GGAUGAAGAACGCAGCGAAAUGCGAUAAGUAAUGCGAAUUGCAGAAUCCGUGAGUCAUCGAAUCUUUGAACGCAUAUUGCGCCCUUUGGUAUUCCGAAGGGCAUGCCUGUUCGAGCGUCAUUGCUGCCCUCAAGCACGGCUUGUGUGUUGGGCCCCGUCCUCCGAUCCCGGGGGACGGGCCCGAAAGGCAGCGGCGGCACCGCGUCCGGUCCUCGAGCGUAUGGGGCUUUGUCACCCGCUCUGUAGGCCCGGCCGGCGCUUGCCGAUCAACCCAAAUUUUUUAUCCAGGUUGACCUCGGAUCAGGUAGGGAUACCCGCUGAACUUAAGCAUAUCAAUAAGCGGAGGA
rnacentral:misc_RNA from 1 species